rnacentral:rRNA from 1 species
UACGUAGGUGGCAAGCGUUGUCCGGAUUUACUGGGCGUAAAGAGCGCGCAGGCGGCCCAGUAAGUCCGCUCUGAAAGCCCGGGGCUUAACCCCGGGAGGCGGGUGGAUACUGCUGGGCUUGAGUCCGGAAGAGGCGAGUGGAAUUCCCGGUGUAGCGGUGAAAUGCGCAGAUAUCGGGAGGAACACCAAUGGCGAAGGCAGCUCGCUGGGACGUGACUGACGCUGAGACGCGAAAGCGUGGGGAGCAAACAGG